UAGAACUAGAAGGUGUUAGAAUAUUCUCUAAUGCUCUUAUUUAUUAAACUUGACAGCAACUUCUGCCUUUUCUUCCUCCUUCUUAGUUAUAACGCCUCUAUGAUCAUCAUUCCUCUCAUUGCACCAUAAAGCAAAGAACACAAAGAGAGAGAGGUCUUCUCAAACCAUCUUGCAGGUGUGUCUUUCAUUGUAUAUUCUGCUGCUGGGUAAUUGGAAGGCUAACCAGGUGCUGCUUCAUUCCUUAAUUAUUCUUCAAACAUUCCAAGAAGUCCAUAUUCUUCAUUGUUCUCUAGUGUCAUCACCAAAAUCAGGGAAUGCUGAAAGAUGUGCUUGACAGUUAAGAAUUCCUUCACCGAGGCUGAUGAGUCCGUGCCUCCAUCUGAGCUAUCCUUGUUCAACCUUUGCAAAAGUCUACCAUGCUAGGAACAUCAUAACUGGCAUGAGUGUGGCCAUUAAGAUUACUGGCAAGGACAAGAUUCUGAAAGUUGGGAUGAUUGAUCAGAUUAAGCGCGAAAUUUCAGCGAUGAGGCUAACCAGGCAUCCACAUGUGGUUGAGCUUUACGAGGUAAUGGCCAGCAAAACCAAAAUUUACUUUGUUAUGGAGUAUGUAAAAGGUGGUGAGCUCUUCAAUAAGGUAUCCAAAGGAAAGCUCAAGCAGGAUGAUGCUAGGAGAUAAUUUCGGCAAUUGAUCAGCGCUGUUGACUACUGCCAUAGCAGAGGUGUGUGCCAUCGUGAUCUGAAACCAGAAAAUCUUCUACUGGAUGAAAAUGGGAAUAUAAAUGGAUUACUCCACACUACAUGUGGUGCCCCUGCCUAUGCUGCUCCGGAAGUGAUAAACAGAAGGAGUUAUGAUCUUGUAUGUUCUAUUGGCAGGGGAGAGUUCAAAUUUCCUAACUGGAUUGCACCAGAUGUACGCAGAUUGCUGUCGAAACUCUUGGAUCCAAACCCAAAGACAAGGAUAUCAAUGGAUGCAUUAUUUGUGAAAAAAUUGUUUUAGUAUGUGUAAAAAUCUCAUAUCACUUUAAACUUUAAAGUUAAGAUCAAGAGAAAUAUAUAUAUAUAUUUGAUUUCUCA